rnacentral:rRNA from 1 species
GGUUUGAUUAUGGCUCAGAUUGAACGCUGGCGGGAUGCUUUACACAUGCAAGUCGAACGGCAGCACGGACUUCGGUCUUGGUGGCGAGUGGCGAACGGGUGAGUAAUGUAUCGGAACGUGCCUAGUAGCGGGGGAUAACUACGUGAAAGCGCUAAUACCGCAUACGCCCUUCGGGGGAAAGCGGGGACCUUCGGGCCUCGCACUAUUAGAGCGGCCGAUAUCGGAUUAGCUAGUUGGUGGGGCACGUAUUCACUGGCGUUGACGAUCCAGAAGCUGUUUGAGAGGACGAUCAGCCAUGAUCCGGAAUGAGACGAUGCUUCAGACCUACGGAACGCAGCAGUGUGUAGUUCUGGAUACGGGAACUCUUGAUCCAGUCGGUCCCGCAAGAUAUGUUGCCUUUGCUGUAGGCACCUUUGCGUGAAAGAAAAUCGCAUGAAGACCGCAACUGACGGUACCUGUGAAUAACACCAGUUAACGAGCAAAUGCAGGCCGCGUAUUACGGUGAAAAGCGUUGAACGGAAUUUAAUGGGCAAAAGCGCAGGUGCAGAAACGGCGAAAGAUGUGAAAAUCCAGAGCUUAACUUUGGAACUGCAUUUUUAACUACCGAGCUAGAGUGUAAUCAGAGGGAGGUGGAAUUCCGCGUGUAGCAGUGAAAUGCGUAGAUAUGCGGAGGAACACCGAUGGCGAAGGCAGCCUCCUGGGAUAACACUGACGCUCAUGCACGAAAGCGUGGGGAGCAAACAGGAUUAGAUACCCUGGUAGUCCACGCCCUAAACGAUGUCAACUAGCUGUUGGGGCCUUCGGGCCUUGGUAGCGCAGCUAAUUCUAGUGUGAAGUUGACCGCCUGGGGAGUACGGUCGCAAGAUUAAACUCAAAGGAAUUGACGGGGACCUGCACAAGCGGUGGAUGAUGUGGAUUAAUUGAUGCAAACGCGAAAACCUUACCUACCCUUGACAUGUCUGGAAUCCCGAAGAGAUUUGGGAGUGCCUGCAAGAGAACCGGAACACAGGUGCUGCAUGUAUUGCCGUCAGCUCGUGUCGAGAUGCUGGGUUAAGUCCCGCAACGAGCGCAACCUCUCGUCAUUAGUUACACAGGCGCACUCUAAUGAGACUGCCGGUGACAAACCGGAGGAAGGUGGGGAUGACGUCAAGUCCUCAUGGCCCUUAUGGGUAGGGCUUCACACGUCAUACAAUGGUCGGGACAGAGGGUCGCCAACCCGCGCAGGGGAGCCAAUCCCAGAAACCCGAUCGUAGUCCGGAUCGCAGUCUGCAACCUGACUGCGUGAAGCUUCUGGAAUCGCUAGUAAUCGCGGAUCAGCAUGUCGCGGUGAAUACGUUCCUGGUCUUGUACACACCGCCCGUCACACCAUGGGAGUGGGUUUUACCAGAAGUAGUUAGCCUAACCGUAAGGAGGGCGAUUACCACGGUAGGAUUCAUGACUGGGGUGAAGUCGUAACAAGGUAA